rnacentral:rRNA from 1 species
GACGAACGCUGGCGGCGUGCCUAAUACAUGCAAGUCGAGCGCGGGAAGCAAGCUGAUCCCUUCGGGGUGACGCUUGUGGAACGAGCGGCGGACGGGUGAGUAACACGUGGGCAACCUGCCUGUAAGAUCGGAAUAACUCCGGGAAACCGGAGCUAAUGCCGGGUAAUACAUUUCUCCGCAUGGAGAGAUGUUAAAAGAUGGCUUCUCGCUAUCACUUACAGAUGGGCCCGCGGCGCAUUAGCUAGUUGGUGAGGUAACGGCUCACCAAGGCGACGAUGCGUAGCCGACCUGAGAGGGUGAUCGGCCACACUGGGACUGAGACACGGCCCAGACUCCUACGGGAGGCAGCAGUAGGGAAUCUUCCGCAAUGGACGAAAGUCUGACGGAGCAACGCCGCGUGAACGAUGAAGGUCUUCGGAUCGUAAAGUUCUGUUGUUAGGGAAGAACAAGUACCGUGCGAAUAGAACGGUACCUUGACGGUACCUAACGAGGAAGCCCCGGCUAACUACGUGCCAGCCGCCGCCGUAAGAC